AUUGAACGCUGGCGGCAGGCCUCACACAUGCAAGUCGAACGAGUGGCGGACGGGUGAGUAAUGUUUGGGAAACGGACCGAUGGAGGGGGAUAACUACUGGAAACGGUAGCUAAUACCGCAUACACUCGGAUGUGCCCAGAUGGGAUUAGAUAGUAGGUGGGGUAACGGCUCACCGAGCAGACGAUCCCUCGCUGGUCUGAGAGGAUGCCCAUCCACACUGGAACUGAGACACGGUCCAGACUCCUACGUGAGGCAGCAGUGGGGAAUAUUGCACAAUGGGCGCAAGCCUGAUGCAGCCAUGCCGCGUGUAUGAAGAAGGCCUUCGGGUUGUAAAGUACUUUCAGCGAGGAGGCGUUACUCGCAGAAGAAGCACCGGCUAACUCCGUGCCAGCAGCCGCGGUAAUAC
rnacentral:rRNA from 1 species